rnacentral:rRNA from 1 species
AUGCAUGUGCAUCCUGGCUGGGAGGGAUCAGCCUCAGAUACAAGGGUUCUCCAAGAUGCACUUAACCAUGGAUUUCAAGUACCUCAUGGUAAAUAUUAUCUUGUAGAUGCGGGUUAUGCAAACACACCACAAUUUCUUGCCCCAUAUCAUGGAACUAGAUACCAUUUGCAAUAA